rnacentral:lncRNA from 13 species
UGGAUUUUUUUUCUUAGGUGAGGACUAAAGCUAGAUUGAGGAAGAACCCAAUGUUAAUGUCAACAUUCUUGUACAAACUUUCUCUGCAUGUGUUUUUAGUUAUUUGUUAGAUGUGCCUCAAGUUAAUAUUAAGGCCUUGGGUCAGCAGCAGCAUCUGAAUGUUUUCAAUGACUGAAACAUAACUGAAAGUUUGCUUAGAGAUUCAAAUUUUUCUUUAGGCUUCUAGGUUUUCAGUGACUCAGCAAAAGUUUGCUGAGGAAAUGCUUAUACACUAUUUGUGGGAGUAUAAAUUGGUUCAACUAUUGUGGAAAGCAGUUGUGAUUCCUCACAGAGCUAAAAACAGAACUACCAUUCCACCCAGUAAUCGCAUUACUUGGCAUGUACCUAAGGGAAUAUAAAUCAUUCUACCAUAAAAAUACAUGCACAUGUAUGUUAACUGUAGCACUAUUUACAAUAGCAAAGACAUGGAAUCAACCUAAACGCCCAUCAAUGGCAGAUUGAAUAAAGAAAAUGUAGUACAUACACACCAUGGAAUACUAUGCAGCCAUCAAAAGAGAGCGAGAUCACAUCCUUUGCAGGAACGUGGUUGGAGCUAGAAACCAUUAUCCUUAGCAAACUAACGCAGGAACAGAAACCAAAUACGGCAUGGUUUUACCUAUAAGUGGGAGCUAAAUGAAGAGAACACAUGGACACAAGAAGGGGAACAACAGACACUAGGGCCUGCUUGAAGAAGGAGGGUGGGAAGAGGGAGAGGAUCAGAAAAAUAACUGUUGGGUACUAGGCUUAGUACUGGGGGCUUAAAUAAUCUGUACAACAAACCCCUGUGACAUGAGUUUACCUACAUAAAAAUUCUGUAGGUGUACUCCUGAACCUAACAUAAAAGUUACAGAAAAAGUUCACCCAGGGACCACUUUACCCAGGGACCACUUUACCCAGGGACCACACUUUACCCAGGGACCACUUUACCCAGGGACCACACUUUACCCAGGGACCACUUUACCCAGGGACCACACUUUACCCAGGGACCACACUUUACCCAGGAACCACUUUACCCAGGGACCACUUUACCCAGGGACCACUUUACCCAGGGACCACUUUACCCAGGGACCAGACUUUACCCAAGGACCACUUUACCCAGGGACCAGACUUUACCCAAGGACCACUUUACCCAGGAACCACUUUACCCAGGGACCACUUUACCCAGGGACCACUUGAUUUUACAAAAGAAAAUGACAGAAUCUUGCUCCGUUGCCAGGCUGGAGUGCAGUGUCACGAUCUCACAUCAAUGCAACCUCCACUUCACAGUUUGAAGCAAUUCUCCUGCCUCAGUUUCCUGAGUAGCUGGAACUGAAGGCACGUGCCACCACGCCCAGCUAAUUUUUGUAUUUUUAGUAGAGACAGGCUUUCACCAUGUUGGCCAGGAUGGUCUAGAUCUCUUGACCUUGUGAUCCACCCACCUUGGCCUCCCAAAGUGCUGGGAUUACAAGCGUGAGCCACCGUGCCCAGCUAUCCAAUGUAAUCUUAACACUACUAUUCUUGGGUCAUUGAAUUCAGGGUAAUUUUUAUAUAUUCAGCAUUUUUUUCUUAUUUAAAAUAAAAUCUUAAUAGUAAACA